rnacentral:lncRNA from 1 species
GUAUAUUUAUUAUCUCUUAGAUUUUGACCUAGAAAUAAUAGCUUAACUUUUAACUACUAAUCAAAAUGUCAAGGAAUAUGCCCUGUGGCCUCUGGACACUGAUGCAUUAAUCUAAAUUUUAGACUCUUCAACUUUUAAAAUAAUUACCAAUCACAUUUCAUUUAAACAGGUUAUAAAUGGGUAGCCCAAUAAAAAUUAAAAACUAAAUACACUUCUAGGUGAGGUCUGGUGGAUCAAAAUAACCGACCUCCUCAUGUCACCUUUUAUAAUUUUAGGACAUUUUGUAUUCUGAAAUGUUGUGUCUCAUCAUCAAAUACAGUAAUAUGGGAUAAUGCUCAUUUUAUCUCCUUUUCCUCCUCCUGGUCCACAUACCUUGGUCAAGUAAUUUUUAAUAAAUGUGUAUUUCACCCCAAAUGGGUGAUCUUUUCUUGACUGCUUCCAGGAUAAGAAUGAAAAAGGUAGAAACUAGAUGGAUCUAUUUCCAAAAUUUAAAUUUUUACCCUGGCCUUUCCUGAGGAAAAUGUGACUUUCUUUUUCCAAAUAGCAAACAUAAACAAGCCUGGUUCUUUGUUUGUUUGUUUGGUUGGUUGGUUUUUUUUUUUUUGUACCAGGGAUUGAACUCAGGACCUUGUGCUUGCAAGGCAGGCCAGGCAGAGUGAGCUAAAUCCCCACCCCAAACAAGCCUGGUUUUUAUCCUGAGUGUUAGCCCUGCCAACAGGGCUCCUGCCUUCUCUUCCUGACUUUUUAUUUCUCCUUUCUUUUCUGCCCAACAGGGUUGGGGGAGACAGCAGGAGUGAAUCAAACAGGAUUCACAGGCUGAUGAUCUUGCACGUCCAGGUGUGUUGUGUUGACUCACCUGCACAUCCAAUGGAAAGAAUAUCGAAGUAAAGGAAAGAACAUGCUGCAAGCAUCCCAUCCACAAAAGCACUACCUUCUAUAGCUGUCUUCUCAGCAGGCUCACAGUCCACCUCAAACUCAUCAUACAUGAACUGCCGAGUCAAAGAAGACUUGCCCACCCUAUUGUGCCCACCAUGAUGACUUUGCUCCAGGCCAGACAAUUCUAACCCUUAGGCUUUUUGUGGCUGUCUUGUGUCACUGAGUUUUCACCAGAGGAUUAAGAAGACAUGGCACUGCUGGCCGGUUCACUGCCCCGUGUGUUUCCAAAGCCACAGCUGAGAAAAUCCACUUAAAGGAAGAAAUUUUGGGCUCAUGCUUUCAGAGAUUUGAGUUGGCUCUGGAGAGACAGCACAUCACUGUGAAAGUGCAUAUUGGUGAACAACUGCUCACCUCGUGGCAGCCAGAACGCAAAGGGAACACAAAGGAUUGUGACAAAAUAAACACCUGAAGCCGUGCCGCCAGUAUCUAUUCCUUCCAACUAUGCUCCAUUUCCUAAAGUUCCACCACCUGACAAUAGCCCAUAUAAGUAUGAAUCCAGUCUGGAAAAUCUGGUCAGAGCCCUUGUGACACAAUCACCAGCCGAAGACCCCAGCUCCCAGCAGUGUUGCUCCAACACAUGACAUUUGAGGGCCAGUUGUAUUCUGCAACAAAGAUCACAGCUCCUUUAAAGGAUUCUGGGAAGGUGAGGCAAGAGAAUUGCAAUUUUGAGUCUGCCUGAGCAACUUGGUUACUUAGACACUGUGUUAAAAAUUAAAAAAUAAAUAAAGGGCUGGGGAUGUAGCUCAGUGCAUAAACUUUGUGUUCAAUCCCCAAUCUGAGAGAGAGAGAGAGAGAGACAGAGAGACAGAGAGAGAGGAGGAGGAGGAGGAGGAGAAGGAGAAGGAGGAGAAGGAGAAGGAGAAGAAGAGAAGAAGAAGGAGAAGAAGAGAAGAAAAGAAAAGAAAAGAAUGAGACCUCAUGGCCUUCUUUCCAUGAUAUUCUCCUUCUGGUUCUAGAAAUAACUCCCUCUUAAAUCCCUUUGGGACCAAGUGUGACACAACACACAGAUUACAGCACUAUUCAUGGAACUGCUGAACAUACCCUUAUUAAUAGGCCUUCAAUAACUCAACAUCUUUUCAUUCUAAUUAUAUUUUAUCAUUCCCUGGCCAUCUCUCAACUGAAACACUUUUCUAUAACCAUUCAGGGCUUCACUUUAUAAGACAGAAUUUCAUUCACCAUUCUUACCAAUACGUAUCAUUUUC